CCUACGUGGGACUGCAGUGGGGAAUAUUGCGCAAUGGGCGAAAGCCUGACGCAGCGACGCCGCGUGAGGGAUGAAGGUCUUCGGAUCGUAAACCUCUGUCAGCAGGGCAGAACGGUCACUGUGCUAAUCAGCAGUGAAUUGACGGUACCUGCAAAGUAAGCACCGGCUAACUACGUGCCAGCAGCCGCGGUAAUACGGAGGGUGCGAGCGUUAAUCGGAAUUACUGGGCGUAAAGCGCUCGUAGGCGGUAUGUCAAGGCAAGGGUGAAAUCCCCGCGCUCAACGUGGGAACUGCAUUUGAAACUGGCAAACUGGAGUGUGUGAGAGGAUAGUGGAAUUCCAGGUGUAGGAGUGAAAUCCGUAGAUAUCUGGAGGAACAUCAGUGGCGAAGGCGACUAUCUGGCACAUAACUGACGCUGAGGAGCGAAAGCGUGGGUAGCAAACAGGAUUAGAUACCCUUGUAGUC
rnacentral:rRNA from 1 species